rnacentral:rRNA from 1 species
GCCCCACUGGUAAGGGCGUAUGGUGGAUGCCUUGGUAGACAGGACCGAUGAAGGACGUGACGGGCUGCGAUAUGCCUCGGGGAGCUGCCGAGUGGGCUUUGAUCCGAGGAUUUCCGAAUGGGGAGACCCGGCCACUGUUAUGGGUGGUCACCACAGUUUUUGUGGGGGGUACGCAGGGAAGUGAAACAUCUCAGUACCUGCAGGAAAGGAUACUCCGUGAGUAGUGGCGAGCGAAAGCGGAAGAGGCCAAACCAAGAAACUUCGGUUUUUUGGGGUAAGGACUACGAUAUUGACUGUAGGAGUUAGCCGAAUGAGCAGAAGGAAAGCUGAGUCCAAAGAGCGUAAUAGUCGCGUAGGCGAAAGCAAAUACAGCAUAGUAGGAUCCGGAGUACUGUGAGACACGAGAAAUCUUGCAGGAAAGCGGGGGGACCACCCUCCAAGCCUAAAUACUACAUGGUGAGCGAUAGCGAAGAAGUACGGUGAAGGACAGGUGAAAAGAACCCCGGGAGGGGAGUGAAAGAGAACCUGAAACCCUGUGUUUACAAGCUGUGGAAGUACAAUAAAGAUGUACGACCGCGUACUUUUUGUAAAACGGUCAGCCGAGUUACUUUUUCUGCCAAGGAUAAGAGGAAAAAAGCCUCGGAUCCGAAGGGAUACCAAGUCUAAAAAGGGAU